CCUACGGGGGGCUACAGUGGGGAAUAUUGGACAAUGGGCGAAAGCCUGAUCCAGCCAUGCCGCGUGUGUGAAGAAGGCCUUCGGGUUGUAAAGCACUUUCAGUGGGGAAGAAAGCCUUGGGGCUAAUACCCUCGAGGAAGGACAUCACCCACAGAAGAAGCACCGGCUAACUCCGUGCCAGCAGCCGCGGUAAUACGGAGGGUGCGAGCGUUAAUCGGAAUUACUGGGCGUAAAGCGCGCGUAGGCGGUCUGAUAAGCCGGUUGUGAAAGCCCCGGGCUCAACCUGGGAACGGCAUCCGGAACUGUCAGGCUAGAGUGCAGGAGAGGAAGGUAGAAUUCCCGGUGUAGCGGUGAAAUGCGUAGAGAUCGGGAGGAAUACCAGUGGCGAAGGCGGCCUUCUGGACUGACACUGACGCUGAGGUGCGAAAGCGUGGGUAGCAAACAGGAUUAGAUACCCGUGUAGUC
rnacentral:rRNA from 1 species